rnacentral:snoRNA from 1 species
CGGACAUUUAUUUUUAUUCAGUUUCUUCUCAAGGUGAAGAAAACUUUUUGUAAAUGUCCUAGAGAAAUAUAGUAGCUUUCUGUUCACUCUUUGUGAGUAAAAAGGGUGGAUCGUUCCACUACUGACAUUU